UACGAAGGGGGCUAGCGUUGCUCGGAAUCACUGGGCGUAAAGCGCACGUAGGCGGGUUGCUAAGUCAGGGGUGAAAUCCUGGAGCUCAACUCCAGAACUGCCUUUGAUACUGGCGACCUUGAGUUCGGGAGAGGUGAGUGGAACUGCGAGUGUAGAGGUGAAAUUCGUAGAUAUUCGCAAGAACACCAGUGGCGAAGGCGGCUCACUGGCCCGAAACUGACGCUGAGGCACGAAAGCGUGGGGAGCAAACAGG
rnacentral:rRNA from 1 species